CAGUAGCCGCGGUAAUACGUAGGUGGCAAGCGUUGUCCGGAAUUAUUGGGCGUAAAGCGCGCGCAGGCGGAUCGGUCAGUCUGUCUUAAAAGUGCGGGGCUCAACCCCGUGAGGGGAUGGGAACUGUAUGCCUUGAGUGCAGGAGAGGAAAGCGGAAUUCCCAGUGUAGCGGUGAAAUGCGUAGAUAUAUGGAGGAACACCGGUGGCGAAGGCGACUUUCUGGACGAAAACUGACGCUGAGGCGCGAAAGCCAGGGGAGCGAACGGGAUUAGAUACCCGCGUAGUCCCUGUCUCUUAUACA
rnacentral:rRNA from 1 species